rnacentral:rRNA from 1 species
CCUACGGGGGACAGCAGUGAGGAAUAUUGGUCAAUGGACGAGAGUCUGAACCAGCCAAGUAGCGUGAAGGAUGACUGCCCUAUGGGUUGUAAACUUCUUUUAUAAAGGAAUAAAACGAGGCACGUGUUCCUUUUUGCAUGUACUUUAUGAAUAAGGAUCGGCUAACUCCGUGCCAGCAGCCGCGGUAAUACGGAGGAUCCCAGCGUUAUCCGGAUUUAUUGGGUUUAAAGGGAGCGUAGAUGGGUUGUUAAGUCAGUUGUGAAAGUUUGCGGCUCAACCGUAAAAUUGCAAUUGAUACUGGCAGUCUUGAGUACAGUUGAGGUAAGCGGAAUUCGUGGUGUAGCGGUGAAAUGCUUAGAUAUCACGAAGAACCACGAUUGCGAAGGCGACUAUCUGGCACAUAACUGACGCUGAGGAGCGAAAGCGUGGGUAGCAAACAGGAUUAGAUACCCGAGUAGUC